CCUCCCCUCCCUUCCCUGCUGAGCUGCAGCAAGGCUGAGAUGCGAGAGCCAGCCUGGACCAUCCUCCUCCUCCUCCAUCAUCACUGCCUCCAUCCCGCGAUCGCCUCCAGCCGCCGCUGCUGCUGCAGAAGAAGAAGAAUUCCUCCUCUUCCCAGUCCCUGAGCAUCUCUCCAGAAGCAUGAGCUGCUGCUGCUGCUUCUUCGUCUUCUUCCCAGGCACGCUGCUCUGCAGGAUGGGGAUGCUCUUCCUCUGGCCAGGGUUGCUGGUUCGGGGUGCGGAUUUUACUCAACCAGCUGACAAUUACACAGUUUGUCAGGGGGACAAUGCAACACUAAGCUGCUACAUAGACCAGCAAGUAACGCGUGUCGCAUGGUUGAACCGCUCCAACAUCCUGUACGCUGGCAAUGACAAGUGGUCCAUUGACUCCCGGGUGGAGUUGCUAACCUACAGCCCCUCAGAGUUCAGCAUCAUGAUCACUCAUGUUGAUGUGUACGACGAGGGGCUUUACACUUGCUCCUUCCAGACACAGGACAAGCCCCACACCUCACAGGUGUACCUCAUUGUGCAUGUUCCAGCACGGAUUGUGAACAUCUCAUCAGCUGUGACUGUGAAUGAGGGAAGCAACGUGAAUCUGCUCUGUCUAGCGAUGGGGAAACCGGAGCCAACUGUAACUUGGCGGCAGCUGAAAGAUGGAUUCACCAGUGAAGGGGAGUACCUGGAAAUCACAGAGAUCAACCGGCAGCAGGCAGGAGAGUAUGAGUGCAUCACGGCCAACGGUGUCUCAACACCAGACAGCAAGCGUGUCCUUAUUACUGUCAACUACCCUCCAACCAUUACGGAUAUGAAGGACUCGCGGCCCAUGCUGGGGAAGACAGCUCUGCUACGCUGCGAAGCCAUGGCUGUGCCACCUGCUGAAUUUCAGUGGUUCAAAGAUGACAAACAACUAGUCGGCGGCUUGGAUGGACUGCAGAUCCAGAAUGAGCGGACCCGCUCCAUACUGCUGUUCCCAAACGUCACUUAUCGGCAUUAUGGGAAUUACACCUGCCUGGCAUCUAACAACUUGGGCUCAUUCAAUGUUAGCUUACGGCUUCUCAGACCAGGUUCCCUGGAAAACAUGGCAGCAGCAAGCAUGGGAUCUCCCCUCUUCUUGGGCUUGCUGUCAUCUGCCUUUGUGACUCUGUUGUUUAAGAUUUAGGACAGCCAGGAAAUGGAGCAGAACAAGGAAAGGAAACAAGUGAAAAGGGAAAGAAUCCAAGAGAGGGGGGGAAAGAGAGAGAUAAAGAGAGAGUGGAGAAGAAGGUGACAUAUCUCUACUUUCUGGAAAAGACGCAGAGAGCAAGAAAUGAAAAUUUAAUCGAGAACCCCAUCACUGUGAGGGAAUAGAAGAAAACAAAAACAAAACAAAACAAAAAAAUAUGCAUUUGUUUCUACAGCCAUUGAUCUUCACACUCCAUCUCAGACACUUCCAGUCAAACCUGAUAUUUAACACAUAACUGAAAAGACACAGGGCUCAAAAGGGUUGACUGCAAACACGGCCCUCCUGACUCCUCACCUCUGCGACGACAUUCUGAAUCGCCAUCAUUCUUCUCCUUGGGCCAAUUGGACCUUUCGUCUUUCAAAUACACGGAACCGGGAAUGCCAAUUUCACAGAGGGUUUUUCUUAUCUUAUUAUUUUAGGGGUGGUUUUUUUCCCCAUUGCUCUUUCUUUUACUCUUAUUUGGGGAGGGGUGUGUGUGUCAAAAUUUCAGCAGCUGACUGCAUUCAACUUAGGGGCUUCACUUUUCGAUUUCUUGCGUUCGAGCUGGGAUGCGAAGCUCUGUAGAAAAUGGGAUGGUCUCCAUCACCACCACCACUGCCCAUCCCCAGUCAUUUCAGAUUUGCGGACCAUUAUAGUCAGCCUAGGACCAGGCAAACUGUUAGAGAUGUUGGGAUGUUGCUUUGCCCAGUUUUGGCAUCAAACAGACUUCUUUUAGGAGACCACGAGAGAUCUUAUGAAUUCACUUCACCAAAGCUGUGGGGAGGCCAGCGCUGAGAGUUGGAUCUACAGUCCUUCAACACCAUGCUGCUCCAAAGUCCUUGGAAGAACACUAAGGCCACUGAGUCCAGUCCACUAAGUUUUUAAGGCAUGGAAUCCCCAUUCUUUAAGACACAGUGAUCGAGGAAGAGAAAGCCAAGAAGAGGCAGCAGUAAAUGGCAUGCCAUCUGCCAGGUUCCUAGUACAUGUGUGUGCUCUGGUGCCUUAGCCCAGGUAGGUGAGUUGUGUGACCUUUGCAGACAACCUUUCACAUUCAAAACAUGAGCUCCCUAAGCCUUAGGGACAUCAUUAGGCUCAGGAAACCGAGAGGAGGAAUUUGUUGCCCAGGCUAGGAACCUGCACAGUGAAACUGCUUGGAUUAAAGGGCUGUUCUGCACUUGUAGAUAAUUGUGAUUUUGCAGUUGUGCUUUCCAAUACAGUGAUGUAAGCGUACAUCUCUAUAAAGAGCUUUUCACUAAGAAUGUUAAUGUGUGCAUGCAUGCACACACAUAGGGAGAUUCUCUAUACGAAGUGGUCCUACAUUAGUUUAUUCCUGCCAGCAUGGAUGGGCUCCUAAUGUUCUGUACAAUGCCACAUCCACCUGUGUGCCAUUCUUUGUUUCAAAGAGUGUACUAUCAAAUAUCUGACAGUGGAGAAGGGACAGACAAAAAGGAGUCAACUGCAUUGUCAAUGGCACAGAAAUCUGUCAGAAUGGGAACUUGGCACCUGGGGGCAUAUUUACACAAAGCUCUUAGUUUCAUCAUAAGGUAGCUGUACAAUGCUGGUGCUUUCUUCUUAACAAGAGCUUGGCACCAGAUUGGCACCAGCAGCCAAAACCUUUGGCCUGGAAGUCUGUUGGUGCAUUACACUGGCAUAAAUGUGUGCUAAAAGUGGGUUAUAUCUGGCCAAGAAAUAUCAGUAUAUGGACAAGAGGGUUAAAAGUUAUUAAUGAGGAAGUACAGAUAAACUAGAAAUGGCUGCAGCAGUUUGCUUUUGCUCAAGUUUACUGGGAAAGGGAAGAUUCAGUCCCCCUCUCCUCUCCUCUUCCCGCUUCU